UACGAAGGGGGCUAGCGUUGUUCGGAAUUACUGGGCGUAAAGCGCGCGCAGGCGGCUAUCCAAGUCAGUGGUGAGAGCCCGGAGCUCAACUCCGGAACUGCCAUUGAAACUGUUUAGCUUGAGGAUGAGAGAGGUGAGUGGAAUUCCCAGUGUAGAGGUGAAAUUCGUAGAUAUUGGGAAGAACACCGGUGGCGAAGGCGGCUCACUGGCUCAUUACUGACGCUCAGGCGCGAUAGCGUGGGGAUCAAACAGG
rnacentral:rRNA from 1 species